rnacentral:rRNA from 1 species
UACAGAGGUCUCAAGCGUUGUUCGGAUUCAUUGGGCGUAAAGGGUGCGUAGGCGGCGUGGUAAGUCGGGUGUGAAAUUUCGGAGCUUAACUCCGAAACUGCAUUCGAUACUGCUGUGCUUGAGGACUGGAGAGGAGACUGGAAUUUACGGUGUAGCAGUGAAAUGCGUAGAUAUGCGGAGGAACACCGAUGGCGAAGGCAAUCCCCUGGGCCUGCACUGACGCUCAUGCACGAAAGCGUGGGGAGCAAACAGG